GACGAACCGUGCGAACGUUGUUCGGAAUCACUGGGCUUAAAGGGCGCGUAGGCGGGUGAUCAAGUCAGGGGUGAAAUCCUUCCGCUCAACGGGAGAACAGCUUCUGAUACUGGUCAUCUUGAGGGGGGUAGGGGCAUGUGGAACUUCCGGUGGAGCGGUGAAAUGCGUAGAUAUCGGAAGGAACGCCGGUGGCGAAAGCGACGUGCUGGACCCUUUCUGACGCUGAGGCGCGAAAGCCAGGGGAGCAAACGGG
rnacentral:rRNA from 1 species